rnacentral:lncRNA from 1 species
UUCUGUAUUCGUAGAGUAUCUUUUAAGUUUGCAUUAAAAGUGAAACUUCAUUUUUCUUUCUUAGAAUAGAGGUUUUCCACACAGUCACCCUUUAACACAGAUUAUCUGGUUGUAUGUCACUUUGCCCACUGUGUUGCAGUCAAAUCAGGCGGCUUUUGGAGACCUAGCCCUCACCCCAAUUGCCCAGCAUUGCCGCGCCGCACAGCUCCAGGGACUGGUAGCCAGAAGGGUGGUCUUCACGGAGGUGCUCACCAGGUGGCGGCCCACCCAAGCCCAGGGGAGUACUGAUUUGCCUCUGGAAGUCUGCUCCGCACUCCAGCAGUCCACAAGUUCUGAGCCAGAAAGACCUGGACCUAUGGUGGUCAUAGGGUAAGGCUCAGGUUUCGGGAUGCCUGUCACACAGGCAGGGGCGCUGCUUUGUAGCCUCAAGUCCUGCACCCUGGAAGAAAGGCGUCCCACAAGCUCGACUUUUCUUCCGCGAGCCACAGAGAGCCUUUUGUUCCGAAUCAUAGGACACUUUGCAAGUUAAAAUUCACAUCAGGAAUUCAUGUGGCUGGGGGCUAGCAGGACAGGUUGGAAGACUCAACCCAUAUCAACUUCUACCUUCCUCUGAAGUUUUUCUAAUUUUCAAAAUAAAGAAGUUGGCUCCCGCUCGCUCCUCCUCUCCAUUUCUUUCUCUACCUCCCCAGCCCCGCCUCUCUCUUUCCAUGUAGUAAUUAUGUUUGCGAUUGUCUUCUUUGUCGAACAUAUAAGGCACCAACAUAUUGGUUAAACUAGAUUUCGCCGUUUUCAUGUCUACAAGGCGAGGACGUUCUAAAUGCACCCUCUCCGCGCCCAAAACUUGUCCUCUUGUCCUGAAGUAAAGGGUAUUGAUGAACGAGGGAGGAGCAGGGUAAUUGAGGAACAUAUGAGGGAGAUCUGUUUCUGUUUGGAUCAGACUUGGUUUUAUCUAUUAGAAGUACCGUGAUCAGGAUGUUUAAUGACCAUGGACUUUACACUUAAAGUUGUAUAAUCAGAGUUCAAAGGAGAAACAUCUGUCAUUUUGCCUUGGUAUCUAUGCAUAAGGAAGUCUUUCCCUGAAACGUGAAAGCUCAAUGUGUGAGAUGCACACAUAACACCUUCAUAAAAAUAUGCAGCUGUGUCUUUAAGACAUACCUAGUGAAUCAGCA